rnacentral:lncRNA from 1 species
CUGUAUCAGGUGCAGCAUCCUGCUGCCAAGAUGAUUGUGAUGGCCUCUCAUAUGCAAGAACAAGAGGUUGGCGAUGGCACAAACUUUGUUCUGGUAUUCGCUGGCGCUCUUCUGGAACUAGCUGAAGAACUUCUGAGGAUUGGCCUGUCAGUAUCAGAGGUAAUAACAGGGUAUGAAAUAGCUUGCAAAAAAGCUCAUGAGAUUCUUCCUGAUUUGGUGUGUUGUUCUGCCAAAAACCUGCGAGAUGUUGAUGAGGUGUCGUCGCUGCUGCGCACCUCCAUAAUGAGUAAGCAGUACGGCAGCGAGGAGUUUCUGGCCAAGCUCAUUUCUCAGGCGUGUGUAUCUAUUUUUCCUGAUUCUGGCAAUUUCAAUGUUGAUAACAUCAGAGUAUGUAAGAUUCUGGUAAGUUUCAAAAACUACAUUACCAUAUCCCAGUAGAUCUUAGUAAGAGGCAUUGUCUUUGCAUUCCUGGGGAUUUGAACUAGAGCCUGAGCAUGCCAGGAAAGCACUCCACAUGGAGGUGCACUCCCACUCCAAGGUCAGUCAUUUUCCCUAUUCCCCGGCUUCAGGAUUGUUCUGCUCUUUUCUUAAGACUUAAUUCAUGUGCAGGUAUUUUGCCUGCAUUUAUGUCUUUGUAUCAUGUACAUGCACUUGUAUGGAGGCUGGAGAGGGCAUCAUAUCCCCUGGAACUGAAGAUACAGAUGGUUUUGAGUUAUCUUUUGG